rnacentral:rRNA from 1 species
ACGCUCGACACCUACGGGAGGCAGCAGUGGGGAAUAUUGCACAAUGGGGGAAACCCUGAUGCAGCGACGCCGCGUGGAGGAAGAAGGUCUUCGGAUUGUAAACUCCUGUUGUUGGGGAAAAAGAGGAUGGUACCCAACAAGGAAGUGACGGCUAACUACGUGCUCGCAGCCGCGGUAAUCUGAGCGGGCUGGCAAGGC